UAUCAGGUAGUAGUGGGUGUAAUGUACCUACUAGCCGACGACGGGUACGGGUUGUGAGAGCAAGAGCCCGGAGAUGGAUUCUGAGACAUGAAUCCAGGCCCUACGGGGCGCAGCAGGCGCGAAAACUUUACAAUGCGGGAAACCGUGAUAAGGGGACACCGAGUGCCAGCAUCAUAUGCUGGCUGUCCGGGUGUGUAAAAUACACCUGUUAGCAAGGGCCGGGCAAGACCGGUGCCAGCCGCCGCGGUAACACCGGCGGCCCGAGUGGUGAUCGUGAUUAUUGGGUCUAAAGGGUCCGUAGCCGGUUUGGUCAGUCCUCCGGGAAAUCUGACGGCUUAACCGUUAGGCUUUCGGAGGAUACUGCCAGGCUUGGAACCGGGAGAGGUAAGAGGUACUACAGGGGUAGGAGUGAAAUCUUGUAAUCCCUGUGGGACCACCUGUGGCGAAGGCGUCUUACCAGAACGGGUUCGACGGUGAGGGACGAAAGCUGGGGGCACGAACCGGAUUAGAUACCCGGGUAGUCCCAGCCGUAAACGAUGCUCGCUAGGUGUC
rnacentral:rRNA from 1 species